rnacentral:lncRNA from 1 species
AGACCUCACAGUGAAAUGCUGAAUACAACAGGUGUAGUAGACCUCACAGUGAAAUGCUGAAUACAACAGGUGUAGACCUCACAGUGAAAUACUUACUUACAGGCUCUAACCAACAGUGCAAAAAAGGUAUUAGGUGAACAAUAUUACAAUUAGGUAAAGAAACAAAACAACAGUAAAAAGACAGGCUAUAUACAGUAGAGGCUAUAUACAGUAGAGGCUAUAUACAGUAGAGAGGCUAUAUACAGUAGAGGCUAUAUACAGUAGAGAGGCUAUAUACAGUAGAGAGGCUAUAUACAGUAGAGAGGCUAUAUACAGUAGAGAGGCUAUAUACAGUAGAGAGGAUAUAUACAGUAGAGAGGCUAUAUACAGUAGAGAGGCUAUAUACAGUAGAGAGGCUAUAUACAGUAGAGAGGCUAUAUACAGUAGAGAGGUUAUAUACAGUAGAGAGGUUAUAUACAGUAGAGGGGCUAUAUACAGUAGAGACUAUAUACAGUAGAGAGGCUAUAUACAGCAGAGAACCUAUAUACAGUAGAGGCUAUAUACAGUAGAGAGGCUACAUACAGACACCGGUUAGUCAGGCUGAUUGAGGUAGUAUGUACAUGUAGAUAUGGUUAAAGUGACUAUGCAUAUAGGAUGAACAGAGAGUAGCAGUAGCGUAAAAGAGGGGUUGGCGGGUGGUGGGACACAUUGCAGAUGGGACGGUUAACCAAUGUGCGGGAGCACUGGUUGGUCGGCCCAAUUGAGGUAGUAUGUACAUUAAUAUAUAGUUAAAGUGACUAUGCAUAUAGGAUGAACAGAGAGUAGCAGCAGCG